rnacentral:rRNA from 1 species
CUUGCUUGGUGGAUCAGUGGCGAACGGGUGAGUAACACGUGAGCAACCUGCCCUGAACUCUGGGAUAAGCGCUGGAAACGGCGUCUAAUACUGGAUAUGAGCUGCGGAGGCAUCUUCGUGGUUGGAAAGAUUUUUCGGUUUGGGAUGGGCUCGCGGCCUAUCAGCUUGUUGGUGAGGUAAUGGCUCACCAAGGCGUCGACGGGUAGCCGGCCUGAGAGGGUGACCGGCCACACUGGGACUGAGACACGGCCCAGACUCCUACGGGAGGCAGCAGUGGGGAAUAUUGCACAAUGGGCGGAAGCCUGAUGCAGCAACGCCGCGUGAGGGAUGACGGCCUUCGGGUUGUAAACCUCUUUUAGCAGGGAAGAAGCGGAAGUGACGGUACCUGCAGAAAAAGCGCCGGCUAACUACGUGCCAGCAGCCGCGGUAAUACGUAGGGCGCAAGCGUUAUCCGGAAUUAUUGGGCGUAAAGAGCUCGUAGGCGGUUUGUCGCGUCUGCUGUGAAAUCUGGGGGCUCAACCCCCAGCCUGCAGUGGGUACGGGCAGACUAGAGUGCGGUAGGGGAGAUUGGAAUUCCUGGUGUAGCGGUGGAAUGCGCA